GAUGAAGAACGUAGCGAAAUGCGAUACGUAAUGUGAAUUGCAAAUUCAGUGAAUCAUCGAGUCUUUGAACGCACAUUGCGCCCCCUGGUAUUCCGGGGGGCAUGCCUGUCCGAGCGUCAUUGCUGCCCUCAAGCACGGCUUGUGUGUUGGGCCCCGUCCUCCGAUUCCGGGGGACGGGCCCGAAAGGCAGCGGCGGCACCGCGUCCGGUCCUCGAGCGUAUGGAGCUUUGUCACCCGCUCUGUAGGCCCGGCCGGCGCUUGCCGAUCAACCCAAAUUUUUAUCCAGGUUGACCUCGGAUCAGGUAGGGAUACCCGCUGAACUUAAGCAUAUCAAUAAGCGGAGGA
rnacentral:misc_RNA from 1 species